GUGCCACUACGCCGCAGUUACUCGGUCAGCUUGUCGUUCCGAUAUGAUUUGUAUUUCUGUGUACGCCGCACGGCCACUGUACUGCACAUAACAUGACGCCGCUGUACGUGCGUUCGGACCAACAGGAAAACGCGAAAAACUGCAGCGACAAACAUAACAUAUAAUAUAUUGUACGCUAAACACUGUCGUCCGCGCGGGGCACGCGGAAAAACGGGACGUUUGCUCAUCGACGACGACGACCUCAGGUCUUAAAGACCACAGGAUUGAAUAAUGUUUGUACUUUGGAGAAGCAUUUUUAAAAAACAAAAACGAGA
rnacentral:lncRNA from 1 species